rnacentral:ncRNA from 1 species
GGUUAAGCAAAGAAGGGCACAGGGCGGAUGCCUUGGCACUGAGAGCCGAUGAAAGACGCGAUAAGCUGCGAAAAGCUGCGGAGAGGAGCACAUAUCCAGUGACCCGCAGGUGUCUGAAUGGGGAAACCCACAUGAGCAGCCCUCAUGUACCGUACAGUGAAUCCAUAGCUGUACGGGGGGAACCCGGUGAACUGAAACAUCUAAGUAGCCGGAGGAAAAGAAAGAAAAUUUUCGAUUUCCAAAGUAGCGGCGAGCGAAAUGGAAAGAGCCCAAACCGCCAUGCGUGCAUGGCGGGGUUCGGACUGCAUAAGUGAUUCCCGAUUGUUAGCCAAACGGUCCUGGAAAGACCGGCCAGAGAGGGUGAAAGCCCCGUAGGCGAAAACGAAAGGGACACGGCAGGAUCCAGAGUACCACGGGACACGAGAAACCCUGUGGGAAUGAGCGGGGACCACCCCGUAAGGCUAAAUACUGCUCAGUGACCGAUAGCGCACAGUACUGUGAAGGAAAGGUGAAAAGAACCCCGGGAGGGGAGUGAAAGAGAACCUGAAACCCUGUGUCUACAAGCUGUGGAAGUGCCUUAUGAGCACAACCGCGUACUUUUUGUAGAACGGUCCGGCGAGUUGCGCAGACUGGCAAGGUUAAGCGUCCCAGACGCGGAGCCAAAGAGAAAUCAAGUCUUAACAGGGCCACAGUCAGCCGGCGCAGACCCGAAACCGGGUGAUCUAUCCAUGUCCAGGAUGAAGCUGCCGUAAAAGGCAGUGGAGGUCCGAACGCACAUCCGUUGAAAAGGGUGGCGAUGAGGUGUGGAUAGGGGAGAAAUUCCAAUCGAACCCGGAGAUAGCUGGUUCUCCCCGAAACAGCUUUAGGGCUGGCCUCACGGGAGUCAUAUGGAGGUAGAGCACUGAAUACCCGCGGGGGCGUCAAAGCUUACCAAAGGUUAUCAAACUCCGAAUGCCAUUAUGAUGCUCCGUGGGAGUCAGACUGCACGAGAUAAGUCGGGCAGUCAAAAGGGAAAGAGCCCAGACCCGCGGCUAAGGUCCCAAAGUGUGUGUUAAGUGGAAAAGGAUGUGGGAUUUCGAAGACAGCUAGGAUGUUGGCUCAGAAGCAGCCACACAUUCAAAGAGUGCGUAACAGCUCACUAGUCGAGAGGUCCCGCGCCGAAAAUGUCCGGGGCUGAAACACACCGCCGAAGCC